rnacentral:rRNA from 1 species
GAUGAACGCUGGCGGCGUGCUUAACACAUGCAAGUCGAACGAUGAACCUCACUUGUGGGGGGAUUAGUGGCGAACGGGUGAGUAACACGUGAGUAACCUGCCCUUGACUCUGGGAUAAGCCUGGGAAACCGGGUCUAAUACUGGAUACGACCUUCUGGCGCAUGCCAUGUUGGUGGAAAGCUUUUGUGGUUUUGGAUGGACUCGCGGCCUAUCAGCUUGUUGGUGGGGUAAUGGCCUACCAAGGCGACGACGGGUAGCCGGCCUGAGAGGGUGACCGGCCACACUGGGACUGAGACACGGCCCAGACUCCUACGGGAGGCAGCAGUGGGGAAAAUUGCACAAUGGGCGCAAGCCUGAUGCAGCGACGCCGCGUGAGGGAUGAAGGCCUUCGGGUUGUAAACAUCUUUCAGUAGGGAAGAAGCCGGCUUUUGGGUUGGUGACGGUACCUGCAGAAGAAGCGCCGGCUAACUACGUG